GCCGGGUGCGGUGGCGCGCGCCUGUAAUCCAAGCUACCGGGAGGCUGAGGCUGGCGGAUCGUUUGAGCUCAGGAGCUCUGAGCUGCAGCGGACUAUGUCGAUCGGGUGUCCGCACUAAGUUCGGUAUCGAUAUGGUGCUCCUGGGGGAGCCCGGGACCACCAGGUCGUCUAAGGAGGGGUGCACCGGCCCAGGUCGGAAACGGAGCAGGUCAAAGCCCCCGUGCCGCUCAGUAGUGGGAUCGCGCCUGUGAAUAGACGCUGUAGUGCAGCCUGAGUAACACAGCGGGACCCAGUCUUUU
rnacentral:SRP_RNA from 1 species